UACGUAGGGGGGCAAGCGUUGUCCGGAAUCAUUGGGCGUAAAGAGCGUGUAGGCGGUCCGGUAAGUCGGCUGUGAAAGUCCAGGGCUCAACCCUGGGAUGCCGGUCGAUACUGCCGGACUAGAGUUCGGAAGAGGCGAGUGGAAUUCCCGGUGUAGCGGUGAAAUGCGCAGAUAUCGGGAGGAACACCUAUGGCGAAGGCAGCUCGCUGGGACGUUUACUGACGCUGAGACGCGAAAAGCGUGGGGGAGCAAACAGG
rnacentral:rRNA from 1 species